GUUGGCACCCAUGCGGCUCUACACGCUCUCCAAGCGCCACUUCGUCCUUGUGUUUGUUGUCUUCUUCAUCUGUUUCGGACUGACCGUCUUCGUCGGCAUUGAGGGACCCAGAGUGAUCGAGACUUUGCCUGCUAAUUAUUCACUCAAUAGUAGCAAAAAGCUAAAGACAGUUAUACCUUCAAACCCACUGUCCACAUAUAACCAACAACUAUGGCUGACGUGCGUUGUGGAGCUGGAGCCCUCAGAAGAAACAUCCAUCCAAACCAGCUUCACCAUGACAGUGAAGGUCGAUGGUGUGUCUCAAGAUGGAACCACGACGUACAUCCAUAACAAGGUUCACAACCGGACGAGGACCCUCACGUGUGCAGGGAAAUGUGCAGAAAUCAUCGUGGCCCACCUUGGCUACCUGAAUUACACACAGUACAGGGUUACUGUGGGGUUUGAGCACCUGAACCAGCCCAUCAAGGAUAUGAACUUCACGUGGAAGACAUACAACCCUGCGUUUUCCCGGCUGGAGAUCUGGUUCCGCUUCGUGUUUGUGGUGCUCACCUUCAUCGUGAUUGUCUGCGGCACCUGCGCAAGUUCUCCAUGAGGGACUGGGGCAUCGAGCAGAAGUGGAUGUCUGUCCUCCUGGCCCUGCUGCUGCUCUACAAUGACCCUUUCUUCCCACUCUCCUUCUUGGUGAAUAGCUGGUUCCCGGGGAUGCUGGACGACUUCUUCCAGUCUCUGUUCCUGUGUGCCCUGCUGCUCUUCUGGCUGUGCGUGUAUCAUGGGAUACGGGUCCAGGGAGAGAGAAAAUGUUUAACUUUCUAUUUGCCUAAGUUCUUCAUCGUUGGACUGCUGUGGCUGGCUUCUGUCACGCUGGGAAUAUGGCAGACAUUUAAUGAAUUAAAUGAUCCCAUGUACCAGUAUCGGGUUGACACCGGAAACUUUCAGGGCAUGAAGGUCUUCUUCAUGGUGGUGGCCGCUGUGUACAUUUUAUACCUUCUAUUCUUGAUAGUGCGAGCAUGCUCCGAGCUCCGUCAUAUGCCUUACGUGGAUCUCAGGUUAAAGUUUUUGACUGCGUUGACCUUUGUAGUGCUAGUUAUUAGCAUCGUCAUCCUCUACCUACGGUUUGGAGCACAAGUGUUGCAGGACAACUUCGUAGCAGAACUGUCGGCUCACUACCAGAACUCAGCUGAAUUCCUGUCUUUCUAUGGCCUGUUGAACUUUUACUUGUACACGCUGGCCUUUGUGUACUCUCCGUCGAAGAAUGCCCUGUACGAGUCCCAGCUGAAGGAUAACCCUGCGUUUUCCAUGUUGAACGACUCUGACGAUGACGUGAUUUACGGGAGUGACUAUGAAGAAAUGCCCCUGCAGAACAGCCAGGCCAUCCGUGCCAAGUGCAGGGAAGAGUCGGACAGUGACUGAGCCCCGGGCAGCAGAUGGGACAGCAGGGGGCCAGAGGCCUGCCUGAGUGACACAUUCUGGCCCCUUCUAUCUGUUUGUGUCUGGACUCCUCUGUAAGCAAAGGUUUCCUGUUCCUUAUUUGUUUACAUAUUUUUAAAGGAAAACCCAAAUGGAUUGAAAUGUGGGGUGGAGUUUGUUUGGGGACAGCCCCACUAUUUAAGAAGAGGGGCUGCCUGG
rnacentral:lncRNA from 1 species